rnacentral:rRNA from 1 species
AGAGUUUGAUCCUGGCUCAGGAUAAACGCUGGCGGCGUGCCUAACACAUGCAAGUCGAACGCUCUCUCAGCAAUGGGAGGGAGUGGCGGACGGGUGAGUAACACAUGGGAAUCGACCCACACGUGAGGAAUACCACCGGGAAACCGGUGACAAUACCGCAUACGCUCGGACAACCGAGCAAAGCUCUUUUUCGGAAGGGCGCGCGUGGACGAGCCUGUGUCUGAUUAGUUCGUUGGUGGGGUAAGAGCCUACCAAGACUGCGAUCAGUCGCUGGUCUGAGAGGAUGAUCAGCCACACUGGGAUUGAGAACGGCCCAGACUCCUACGGGGGGCAGCAGUGAGGGAUCUUCGUCAAUGGGGGAAACCCUGAACGAGCAACGCCGCGUGUGGGAAGACGGCCUUCGGGUUGUAAACCACUUUUCUUGGGGACGAGACAGGACGGUACCCGAGGAAGAAGUCUCGGCUAACUACGUGCCAGCAGCCGCGGUAAUACGUAGGAGACGAGCGUUGUCCGGAGUUACUGGGCGUAAAGGGUGCGCAGGCGGCCAGGCGCGUCGCUAGUGAAAUCUCCCGGCUCAACUGGGAGGGUGGUAGCGAGACGGCCUGGCUUGAGGCUCGGUGAGGGGCGUGGAAUUCCGGGUGGAGCGGUGAAAUGCGUAGAGAUCCGGAGGAACACCAACGGCGAAGGCAGCGCCCUAGACGAGACCUGACGCUCAGGCACGAAAGCUCGGGGAGCGAACAGGAUUAGAUACCCUGGUAGUCCUAGCCCUAAACGAUGGAUGCUUGGUGUAGCCGGUACCCAAUCCGGCUGUGCCGCAGCUAACGCGAUAAGCAUCCCGCCUGGGGAGUACGGUCGCAAGGCUGAAACUUAAAGGAAUUGACGG